rnacentral:rRNA from 1 species
GACGAACGCUGGCGGCGUGCCUAAUACAUGCAAGUUGAGCGCUGAAGGUUGGUACUUGUACCGACUGGAUGAGCAGCGAACGGGUGAGUAACGCGUGGGGAAUCUGCCUUUGAGCGGGGGACAACAUUUGGAAACGAAUGCUAAUACCGCAUAAAAACUUUAAACACAAGUUUUAAGUUUGAAAGAUGCAAUUGCAUCACUCAAAGAUGAUCCCGCGUUGUAUUAGCUAGCUGGUGAGGUAAAGGCUCACCAAGGCGAUGAUACAUAGCCGACCUGAGAGGGUGAUCGGCCACAUUGGGACUGAGACACGGCCCAAACUCCUACGGGAGGCAGCAGUAGGGAAUCUUCGGCAAUGGACGAAAGUCUGACCGAGCAACGCCGCGUGAGUGAAGAAGGUUUUCGGAUCGUAAAACUCUGUUGGUAGAGAAGAACGUUGGUGAGAGUGGAAAGCUCAUCAAGUGACGGUAACUACCCAGAAAGGGACGGCUAACUACGUG